UUGUGAGAGCAAGAGCCCGGAGAUGGAUUCUGAGACAUGAAUCCAGGCCCUACGGGGCGCAGCAGGCGCGAAAACUUUACAAUGCGGGAAACCUUGAUAAGGGGACACCCAGUGCCCGCUUCAUAUGGGGGCGGUCCAGAUGUGUAAAAAACACCUGUUAGCAAGGGCCGGGCAAGACCGGUGCCAGCCGCCGCGGUAACACCGGCGGCCCGAGUGGUGAUCAUGAUUAUUGGGCCUAAAGCGUCCGUAGCCGGCUUGGUAAGUCUUCCGGGAAAUCCCACAGCUCAACUAUUGGGCUUUCGGGGGAUACUAUCAGGCUUGGAGCCGGGAGAGGUAAGAGGUACUCCCGGGGUAGGAGUGAAAUCUUAUAAUCCCGGGAGGACCACCUGUGGCGAAGGCGUCCAGCUGGAACGGACCUGACGGUGAGUAACGAAAGCCAGGGGCGCGAACCGGAUUAGAUACCCGGGUAGUCCUGGCCGUAAACGAGCGGACAGGUGUCGGGAAGGCUCCGAGCUGCUCCAGUGCC
rnacentral:rRNA from 1 species